AGCGAACGCUGGCGGCAGGCUUAACACAUGCAAGUCGAACGCCCGGGCAACCGGGAGUGGCAGACGGGUGAGUAACACGUGGGAACAUGCCCUUCGGUUCGGAAUAACUCGGGGAAACUCGUGCUAAUACCGGAUACGUCCGUAAGGAGAAAGAUUUAUCGCCGAAGGAUUGGCCCGCGUCCGAUUAGCUAGUUGGUGGGGUAAAAGCCCACCAAGGCGACGAUCGGUAGCUGGUCUGAGAGGAUGANCAGCCACACUGGGACUGAGACACGGCCCAGACUCCUACGGGAGGCAGCAGUGGGGAAUAUUGCGCAAUGGGCGGAAGCCUGAUCCAGCAAUGCCGCGUGUGUGAAGAAGGUCUUCGGAUUGUAAAGCACUUUCGACGGGACGAUGAUGACGGUACCCGUAGAAGAAGCCCGGCUAACUUCGUGCCAGCAGCCGCCGUAAC
rnacentral:rRNA from 1 species